rnacentral:rRNA from 1 species
GACGAACGCUGGCGGCGCGCCUAACACAUGCAAGCCGAACGGAGUUAAGUGCUUCGGUAUUUAACUUAGUGGCGAACGGGUGAGUAACGCGUGAGAAACCUGCCUUUCAGUGGGGGACAACAGUUGGAAACGACUGCUAAUACCGCAUAAGCCCAUAGCUCCGCAUGGAGCAGAGGGAAAAGGAGUGAUCCGCUUUGGGAUGGCCUCGCGUCCGAUUAGCUAGUUGGUGAGGUAACGGCCCACCAAGGCGACGAUCGGUAGCCGGACUGAGAGGUUGAUCGGCCACAUUGGGACUGAGACACGGCCCAG